GUACAGUUCCACUCACCAGGGAUUGACACGUGUAGUAAGUGAGAAUAUGUAAAAAUUUUCAAAUCAUUUUCUACGUAUUAAUAUGAUACCUUCUGUAGCAUGUUUUUGUAAUUCUUAUUAAUACAUUAAUUUCAUGCAGCAUGGUUAAUAUCAAUUCAACUACCAAGAAUGAUACGUCGUAUGUGUAUAUUUAUUCUACAUUAAUUUAAAGUUGACUAUUGAUUUCGUUGUAUUUAAUUUCUAUUAUUCUAUUCCUCAUAUUCAGUGUGUAUUUAUUUUAGUGUUAUGUCAUAUUUAAUGUAUGAAUAUCUUUCGUAUUCUAAAAAAAACUGAACCAAACUCAUAUAAAUUAAGCUUGAUAUGAUCUCUAUGCCAGAAUCAACCCUUUCAAAUCUGAAAACAACGAUGACUUAGUGUAGUUGUUGAACAAGAAGGAAGCAUGUUGGGGAUCUCUAACAUCACAGUCGGUCAUAUAAAACAGAUUCAGUUUGGUCGCUUGGAACUAAAAACUCAUUCAAGAAGUCAAAUCCUUUGUUCAUUGAAGAUGGGAAGAGUUAAGUUGAGGAUAGAGAUCUCGAGAUGCUUUAGAGAAGUGAUGGAGGGAGAGACGGGGGCUUGAGAGUACAAGCAACAUACAAGGUUUUUUAUAAGAUAUGUUUUUGUAUUGAUAAAUUAAAAAAAUGGAUGGUAUAAAGUUUUGGAUCUAAGUCUACAUCGUAACACAGGGUAAUG